rnacentral:rRNA from 1 species
CCCGCCUGCCAGUGACCAAGUUCAACGGCCGCGGUAUCCUAACCGUGCGAAGGUAGCGUAAUCACUUGUUCUUUAAAUGAGGACUAGUAUGAAUGGCACCACGAGGGCUAUACUGUCUCCUUUUUCUAAUCAAUGAAACUGAUCCCCCCGUGAAGAAGCGGGGAUAAACAUAUAAGACGAGAAGACCCUAUGGAGCUUUAAACAAAAUAGCACUGGCCCCCUCUUCCCAGCUUCCAGAAACAUAACACCUAUACUGGCCAAAAUGACUAUUAGUUUUAGGUUGGGGUGACCACGGAGCAAAAAUCAACCUCCACAUUGAACGGAAAUACUCCUGAGCCAAAAGCUACGACUUUAAGCACCAAUAAACUGACAUUAAUUGACCCAAUAUUUUGAUCAACGAACCAAGUUACCCUAGGGAUAACAGCGCAAUCCAUUUCAAGAGCUCCUAUCGACAAAUGGGUUUACGACCUCGAUGUUGGAUCAGGGUACCCCAGUGGUGCAGCCGCUACUAAAGGUUCGUUUGUUCAACGAUUAAAACCCUACGUGAUCUGA